UACGUAGGGGGGCUAGCGUUGUCCGGAAUCAUUGGGCGUAAAGCGCGUGUAGGCGGCCCGGUAAGUCCGCUGUGAAAGUCGGGGGCUCAACCCUCGGAUGCCGGUGGAUACUGUCGGGCUUGAGUACGGAAGAGGCGAGUGGAAUUCCUGGUGUAGCGGUGGAAUGCGCAGAUAUCAGGAGGAACACCAAUGGCGAAGGCAGCUCGCUGGAACGGAACUGACGCUGAGGCGCGAAAGCUGGGGGAGCGAACAG
rnacentral:rRNA from 1 species